CGGGUGAGUAACGCGUGAGGAACCUGCCUCAAAGAGGGGGACAACAGUUGGAAACGACUGCUAAUACCGCAUAAGCCCACGGCUCGGCAUCGAGCAGAGGGAAAAGGAGCAAUCCGCUUUGAGAUGGCCUCGCGUCCGAUUAGCUAGUUGGCGGGGUAACGGCCCACCAAGGCGACGAUCAGUAGCCGGACUGAGAGGUUGAACGGCCACAUUGGGACUGAGAUACGGCCCAG
rnacentral:rRNA from 1 species